rnacentral:sRNA from 1 species
AGAGUUCUGCUGGGAUCCGGUGCAUUAGUGCUGGUAUGAUCGCAUCUGUUACUACAUGCAAUGUAAUCGUAUCUAUUCUUUUUUAAAGCUUUUAUGAUCCAUUUGCCGUGGGUCCCACCAGCUAUGUAGGAAUACCCUAUCUUCUUUAUAAGAGCUUUGAUACAUGCAAAAUAUUGGAAAACAAUGUCCGAACAUAUAAUUUCCCCCCUCGUAAUAUAGCAAAGAUCACAAAAAGGCUCGAAAAAGUACAUUUAGGUCAAAAUUUGGAGUAGAAAAAAAAACAAUAGAAGAAUUCCAUUUUCCUUCCUCAGUCAUUGGAGAGAUCUCUUUGGGCUUUGCGAAAAGGUAUCACAUGCCAAGUUUGGCCUCACGGUCUAAAAGUUAUAAAGUCAUACGUUUUUAGCAAAAAAAAAAGAGAAAAACCGAAAAAAAGAGGGAUGCAACACGAGGUCACCCAUUCUAGUACUACUCUCGCCCAAGCACCCUUAACUGCGUAGUUCUGAUGGGAUCUGAGGCAUUAGUGCUUGUAUGAUCGCAUCUGUUACUACAUGCAAUGUAAUCGUAAAUAUU